rnacentral:rRNA from 1 species
GACGAACGCUGGCGGCGUGCCUAAUACAUGCAAGUCGAACGAAGCUGUUUUAACUGGUGCUUGCACCGACUUAAACAACUGAGUGGCGAACGGGUGAGUAACACGUGGGUAACCUGCCCCAAAGCGGGGGAUAACAUCUGGAAACAGAUGCUAAUACCGCAUAACCACAGAAACCUCAUGGUUUCUGUGUCAAAGAUGGUUUCGGCUAUCACUUUGGGAUGGACCCGCGGCGUAUUAGCUAGUUGGUAAGGUAAUGGCUUACCAAGGCAAUGAUACGUAGCCGAACUGAGAGGUUGAUCGGCCACAUUGGGACUGAGACACGGCCCAAACUCCUACGGGAGGCAGCAGUAGGGAAUCUUCCACAAUGGACGAAAGUCUGAUGGAGCAACGCCGCGUGAGUGAAGAAGGUUUUCGGAUCGUAAAACUCUGUUGUCAGAGAAGAACGUGUGCGAGAGUAACUGUUCGUGCAGUGACGGUAUCUGGCCAGAAAGCCACGGCUAACUACGUGCCAGCAGCCGCCGUAA